rnacentral:rRNA from 1 species
AGUCUCUAGCCAUACCACCCUGAAUGUGCCCGGUGUCAUCUGAUCUCUGAAGCUAAGCAAGGUGGGGCUUGGUCAGUACUUGGUGGGGAGAAAUAGUGUGCACAAUUUCUUGGUCUGAACCCCCAGAGUACACAUUU